AGUCCAUUAGCUCAGAAAGGUAGGGAGAAAACCUAUCCGGGUGGAGGCUCCCUUUGAUCUGCUUUCCUGUGACACUCCAGUGAGGACAGAAAAGCACAAACAGCACUCCAAAGACAGCCCGCUUAUCAAACGGAAAGACAUUUCUUUCUGGAAGUAGGAGCACAAAUUUUAAUUAACUCUCCACUCUCCUGUGUGGAUCCGUAAUCUCCGAUCACACCUGGAGUGCUAAAAAAAUGGAGCAUGUCCUGUGGUUUUGCAACUUGUGUAAAAGGAAUUCAUUUGUAUUUAUGGCUUUUUUCCCCCCUUUGUUCUCUAUAAUUUCUCCAGUGGUUGCAAAUCAACUAAGGAAACAGACAUCCAAUGCAACCUUCCCUUACCCUCCAAAAAUCAUGACAACAGAAUGUAGAGUUUACUAAGAAAUGCUUUUGUCUUUUGAUCAUUUUUAAAGAUCCUCCAUGCAGGGAAGUAAUGAGGAGGUAGCAUACUGGUCCAGUGAGAAAGUUGGUAUCCUGAAUGUCAGUUUGCUCUUCUCUUUUCUCCUCUUUCAAUCUGUGGAAGCAAUCUGGGAGAAACGCAGUUUCAAAUAAAAGACUUGGAUCCUUCCACAUGACUGUGUAGAUGAAGAGAGGAAUUUUACUUCCCAUAUCUGAAAAGUGUGUGGGACCAGCACUGGGAUGGUCUCCAUACCUGGAAACAGUGACUGGGGAAUGUUUGCCUCUAUUCCUGACUGCCACCAGGCUGGGCCUUCGCCUUUCACGGAGAGGGUGUGUGAAGGUAGAGAGCCCUGCAAAGACACAUGUGUGUCUUUUGUAAAAUUGCUGCCAAAACACUAAUGCCCAACACUUAUUGGCAGGGAUCUACUGGAAGCCUUUUCUCAGAGUCUGGAAGCUAUGAAGUAAAAAUAAUAAAUUUGGUGACAUAAAAACCCUUCUGCAAGACAAGGGACAAGCUAUGUAAAGUGAAGAGACAAAAGAAAAGAUGGGAAAACAUUUGUAGCUCAUAUUACAGAAAAAAAAAGGAAGAGCUCCUAAAAUUUGAUUUAAAAAAAAUCCAGUAAUCCAAGUUUUAAAAUGGACACAAACAGGAAGAGAGUAGAAUCACAAAAAAAAAGGAAAUUCAAAUGGCCAUUAAGCACACUAAAAAACACCACAUCCCACAAUAAGAGAAAAGCGAACUAUAACUACUGAGAUACAUAUUUUCACCUAUCAUACUGGUAAAAACCCAGAAGUUUGACAACUACUUUGUUGACAAGACCACGGGGAAGUAAGCAUUCUCAUACACCGCUGGCAGGAAGGCAAAUUGAUUCAAUCUCAUACAGAACAACUUGACAGUAUCUUUCAAAAUUGCAAAUACAUUUACCCUUUGACACAACAAUCUCACUUCUGGGAACUGAUCCUAUAUAUAUAUAUAUGUCAAAUGUACAAAGUUAUUCACUGGAGAACUGUUUGCAAUAGCAAAACACUAAAGAUUACCCCGGUGUCUAUCACUAUCAGGCUUGCUAAAUUAAAUUACGUUUUAUGCACAUGACUUGGGGGCCUGAUUAUUGGCUGAUCAUAUGUUGAACCAAGGUGUCCAGGAUAAAAAAGACAAUGAGAAGGAGUGAAUUCCAUUUUAGACAUGCUGAGUUCAAGGAACAGUGGAAGGUCCAGGAGGCAGCUAGAUGAGAUGGGGCCUGUGGUAGAAAGAAUAUACCCACCCACUCCCCCAAAUACUUCUAUGUCCUAAUCCCUGGAGCCUGGGGCUACAUCACCUUCCACGGGUAAGAGAGAUUGGGCAGAUGUGAUAAAGUUAAGGAUCUCCAGAAGGGGAGAUUAUCCAGGUGGGUUCAAUGUAAUCAAAAGGGUCCUCUGAAGAGAGAAGCAGGUGUUGGGGAUGGAGGGAGGACGGGGGGUUGGCCAGUUAGGGAGAGAGGUGUGAGGAUGGAAGCAGAGGUCAGAGUGACUGGCCCUGAGCAAGACAGCCUCUAUAAAUUGAAGUCAAGGAACAGAUUCCCUCCUACAGUCUCCAGAAAGAAUGCAGCUCUGCCAACACCUUGAUUUCAAUCUCUUAAAACCCAUUUUGGACUUCUGACUUCCAGAAUGGUAAGAGAAUAAAUCUGUUGUUUUAAGCCACUACAGCAGCCAUAGGAAAUGAAUACACAGUUAAAUGCAGGGGAAGGCAGGAUGAAAAUAAAGAACUGGAGGGGACAGCCAAUACUCAAUACUUGGGUGCUGCAAACUCAGGAGGCUUGAGGUUGGUGAGGACAGGAUCUCCUGGUGAGGAGGUGAGUGGAAAAUAAAGAAAACAGAGGCUGGAUGGGGAUAAAUCAGCUCUUGAGCAGUCAGGGUGGGAAAUGGGUUUAAGAAGAAAGAUUCACACCAUCAAAUGUCACAAGAGGGCAAGCAACACAACAACCGAAAGACUUUCUGCAGUUGAUAGUGAGGUCUUGGGAGACCACGAGCAAGACAUUUUAGAAGGGAAGUGGCAGACGGCAAGAGGUCUAGCAUGUGGCUGGUACUGAAGACGAGACAGGGUGUUAGCAUGCUGUCAGGAAAUGAAGGUUUGCCUUGGCUGAGCCUGGGUGCAGCAGGGGCCGUGGCCACCAAGGGCAUGUGGGGAACAGUCAUACCCUCAUGUGAUGGAAAGUAGAGAUCCGAAGGCUGGGCAGGAGGGAAAUGCCAAGGAACAUUUCAUCUCUAUUUAUUCAAUGAUAAGUGGAUGCUUAACACUGGGCCAGUCUUUGCUGAAAACUCAGUGAGUCCUUCAGCAUCCCAGAGGGCAGAGCUACACUCCUACCACUCUCCAUUUAUGAAUCUCCACAGCUUAGUCAAACUGGUUCUUUGCUGGGCACCUGGGAAGCAAGAUAGUUGAGGCUCUUCUGCUGCGGCAGGAGAUCCCGGUCUGUUGCGGGGGUGUGGAGAGAUGAACACGGUUCCCCCACCAGAUGGAAGCCACCAUGAGCUGUGCAGGAGGGAAGGACAGAGAAAGGAAUGACUUGCCCCUCUGCUCUCUGGGGAAAGGGCAAAUCCCUCCAGCUGGGGCUGCAGCAGCCCUGCCUUCCCAGCCCUCAUCCUCCCCCUGGGCCUCCUGCAGGACCGCUGCCUCUGCCAGCAGGAGGGAGGGGCAAGGACGCUGGGGCCGGCUGGAGAUGUUGUUUUCCUCUUUGUUUUACACACAAUGCCCCAGAAAAACAUUUUCCUGAUAUGUAAUUAGGCCAACAUAAUAGAGUCUAAGAAAGCAGUCGGUCUCAUUUUAGACAACUUUGGCUUUCAUAACGUUCAAAGAGAAUAUGUUAAAAAAAAAAAAAAAGCUUAGUUCUCAGAUGUAGAAAAGGGGGCAGAUGAUAUGCAGGCAGUGCAGUCUUCCAUCCGAAGACUCUUUCCCCACCCCCCUUGCUUAAUUCACGUCUUUGCCUGAUUUUCUCCACCACUCAAGAAAGGUAACCAACCUUAGUGCCCUUUGAGAGCCCAACAAAAUAAUAAUAACAACUGUCAUUAUUAUUUGAGAUGCAUUGUUUGCAAAAAAUGGCCUUAAUUAUUGUCUCCCUGUAUCCAGGCCUCUUUACAACAUACCUCUGCAGAAAGAGGGAGAGUCUGUCUCUCCACCCCUUGAAACCAGGCUGGUCUUCUGAUUUUUUUCUGACCAAGACAAUAUGGUAGAUGUGAUCUUACAGGAGUUCUGAACCUGUGCCCUGAUGGGCCUUGUUGCUUCCCCUUGCUCUCACGCAGCCCUGCCUAUGUGCUGAGGACAUGCCCAGGCGAGCCUGGUGGAGGAUGGCAGACAUUUGAGAGACCAUCUUGGACCUAUUAGCUGCUGCCGAGGCAUCUGUGUGAGCCCAGGAAGAGCUGGAUGCCCGAGCAAAUGUCUAGAAGGAACACCAUUGUAAAAGUCACCUGGUCUAACUUGAGAGAAAUAAAACAAAAUAGCUGC